rnacentral:rRNA from 1 species
GCUCGAGUGGCGAACGGGUGAGUAACACGUGAGUAACCUGCCCUUGACUUUGGGAUAACUUCAGGAAACUGGGGCUAAUACCGGAUAGGAGCUCCUGCUGCAUGGUGGGGGUUGGAAAGUUUCGGCGGUUGGGGAUGGACUCGCGGCUUAUCAGCUUGUUGGUGGGGUAGUGGCUUACCAAGGCUUUGACGGGUAGCCGGCCUGAGAGGGCGACCGGCCACAUUGGGACUGAGAUACGGCCCAG